GAAAUGCGAUAAGUAGUGUGAAUUGCAGAAUUCAGUGAAUCAUCGAAUCUUUGAACGCACAUUGCGCCCUUUGGUAUUCCUUAGGGCAUGCCUGUUCGAGCGUCAUCUAAACCUUCAAGCCCUGCUUGGUGUUGGGUGCCUGUCCCGCCUCCGCGCGCGGACUCACCUCAAAUCCAUUGGCGGCCCCCGCGUCGGCCACGAGCGCAGCAGAAACGCGAACUCGUGAGCCCGUCCGGGCGGCUCCCAGAAGCUACACCCACCCAGUUUGACCUCGGAUCAGGUAGGGAUACCCGCCGAACUUAAGC
rnacentral:misc_RNA from 1 species